CAGGCCCCCCCUCCCCUCCCCCAUGGCCCAGCCGGAGCCAUUGGGGGUUUUGGAUCUCGGGGUGCUGAGAACGCCCCGGGGGCUGCUGCUGCUGGGGGAACUGGUGCUGUCGCUGGGGGUGGUGGCCCUGCUGGCCGUCCCCUCCCCCCCCACGCUGGCCCCGGCGCUGCUGCAGGCCCUGGGGGGAGGGGCGGCUCUGGGGGGGCUCCUGCUCAGGGACCCCCCGAGGCUGCCCCGGGGCUGCGGCACCUGCCUGGACCUGCUCCGGGCUGCCAGUGGCACCCUCAUCUUCCUGGUGGUGGCCCUGGUGGCCUUGGCCUCGUCCCGUGACGCCCUGGCGGCCACCACCUUCACCUUCAGCCUGGUGCUCGCCCUGCUCUUCGCCUUCGACACCUUCGUCACCUUCCGCACCCGGGUGGCGCCGGGACAGGUUUGUUGACCUGGGACUCGGCGAUGUCGGCGCGUUCCUCGGCCUCAUCCAGCUCGUGCUGCGCCUUCCGGAACUUGGCCAGGCCUUGACUUUCAUCUGCAGUUUGUCCACCAGGUCCUGCAGCCUCAGCAGGUUCUUCUUGUCCUCCUCCGUCUGUGGGAACAGGGACAGGGCUGGAUCCAACUUCAACUCCUGGGCCUCAGUUUCCCCUUCCCAGAGACUUCCCGUGUCCCCCUGGCCACCACGUCCACGUUCUGGGCCACUCACAUCCCUGUGGUCACUCAGUGAAUGCUCUGGGUCAUCUUUGUUCCUGUGGCCACUCAGUCAGUGUCUUGGGCCACCCAUGUCCCUGUGGUCACCCAAUGAAAGUUCUGGGUCAUCUUUGUUCCUGUGGCCACCCAGUCAAUGUCUUGGGCCACCCAUGUCCCUGGGGCCACCAUCUCUGCCAGAUGUCCCACAGGUGUGACACAAGACAGCCUGUGCUGUAGUAGCUUCAUCCGGCAGAUGAGUUUGACCCACCCAGGUGGUGUCAUCUGUACCUGAGCUCCUUGACCCACCUCAGUGGU